GUGAAAUAGCACGUAUACAGUAUAUGUGUUUGCCUCGUUCUUUGAAAGACAUGUAUAUAGCUUACCCAGACUUUUAUAAUAGCGCAGUUAUAUAGUUAUUACGUAAUCAUUUUUACUUCGUAUCAUCGUAUCAGGCAAAAAUAUAGCUUACCCAGACUUUUAUAAUAGCGCAGUUAUAUAGUUAUUACGUAAUCAUUUUCACUUCGUAUCAUCGUAUCAUCGUAUCAGGCAAAAAUAUAGCUUACCCAGACUUUUAUAAUAGCGCAGUUAUAUAGUUAUUACGUAAUCAUUUUCGCAUCGUAUCAUCGUAUCAGCCAAAAAUAUAGCUUACCCAGACUUUUAUAGUAGCGCAAAUAUAUAGUUAUUACGUAAUCAUUUUCACUUCGUAUCAUCGUAUCAUCGUAUCAGACAAAAAUAUAGCUUACCCAGACUUUUAUAAUAGCGCAGUUAUAUAGUUAUUACGUAAUCAUUUUCACUUCGUAUCAUCGUAUCAUCGUAUCAGGCAAAAAUAUAGCUUACCCAGACUUUUAUAAUAGCGCAGUUAUAUAGUUAUUACGUAAUCAUUUUCACUUCGUAUCAUCGUAUCAUCGUAUCAGGCAAAAAUAUAGCUUACCCAGACUUUUAUAAUAGCGCAGUUAUAUAGUUAUUACGAAAUCAUUUUCACUUCGUAUCAUCGUAUCAUGGUAUCAGGCAAAAAUAUAGCUUACCCAGACUUUUAUAGUAGCGCAAAUAUAUAGUUAUUACGUAAUCAUUUUCACUUCGUAUCAUCGUAUCAUGAUAACAGGUGAGGUCUUCAAAAGUGGACGGGUAUUCUGCAAUCGCUCCAAUCAUUGAUAUUCAUUGUAGAGAUAAAGCUUUCAUGACUUGCUUAGUUAAUACCUUUUGUCUGGUUUGUUCAAGCAGGGCGAAUAUGAUUUCUUCUUCACCCUGUGUUUCUGGGUUUCUUGACUUUGGCUUAUGGCGCGGAAAUAUAGAUGCCAUCGCGUCUGGUUUGAGCUUUGGCUUUUGUUGGAAGCAACGCACAAAUUCUAGCGUUCUUGCGAAGUAUAUUCAGGCAUAAAUGCGCCGACGCCGAAUAAACAGAUGAAUGUAAUAUCUAAAUCGCGUAGGUUUUACUCUGCAAAUAAUUUCUCGCCAGCCACGCUCGUCGCAAACCUUUUUCUUUGGGAUUCUGUUGUGGCUUAUUCCCACAGUUUUCCGUGCCACUCUGGAACCAAGC